rnacentral:lncRNA from 1 species
UUUUUUUUUUUUUUUAAUGUUCAAGUUUGACAAGAAGACCACAAGAUAAGAAUGAAGAGUUUCCAAUGCUUAAAUCAGGUUCUUAAAUUAAGAUGUAAGUACUUGAGAAGAGUUUUUGAAUGAAUCUUAAUGGAAAAAUCUUCUGCCUAAAAAUUCAACCAACCAAGAGAUCCGAGUCAAUAAAACAAGAUACAAAUAAUAUAUGUGUGACCUUUUCAACCAAAUAGACCAUAUAUAUGUGGGACCUUUUCAACCAACCCAAGUGUUGCCACAUAGCUAAAGUUAUAGGUUUUAUUGGUGUCUAUUUCAUUAUGUCACUUAGAAAAUCACAACACCUCACAUCAUUAUGACAUGUCCUCUUUGUUAUCUUUCCACCUCUACUCUAGGUCCAACGCAGCCUCUACUCUAGAGCCAGCGCAGCCUCUACUCUAGUUCCAGCACAGCGUCUACUCUAGUUCCAACGCAGCCUCCCUUCUAGUUCCAGCGCAACCUCCCUUAUGGAUCAACACCAGGCUUAAUAGAUUAUCACUGUAGCUCAACACUUGGUACUUAGGGUACAUAAUCAAUGCAAUGUUAAAAAGCA